ensembl:snRNA U6 U6 spliceosomal RNA
AUGCUCACCUCAGCAGCACAUAUAUUGAAAUUGAAUCAUAUAGAGAAGAUUAGCAUGGCCCCUGCACAAGGAAGACAUACAAAUUUGGGAAGCAUUCCAUACUUCU